AUUGAACGCUGGCGGCAGGCCUAACACAUGCAAGUCGAACGAGUGGCGGACGGGUGAGUAAUGUCUGGGAAACUGCCCGAUGGAGGGGGAUAACUACUGGACACGGUAGCUAAUACCGCAUACCCUCGGAUGUGCCCCGAUGGGAUUAGCUAGUAGGUGGGGUAACGGCUCACCUAGGCGACGAUCCCUAGCUGGUCUGAGAGGAUGACCAGCCACACGUGAACUGAGACACGGUCCAGACUCCUACGGGAGGCAGCAGUGGGGAAUAUUGCACAAUGGGCGCAAGACUGAUGCAGCCAUGCCGCGUGUAUGAAGAAGGCCUGCGGGUUGUAAAGUACUUUCAGCGAGGAGGCGUUACUCGCAGAAGAAGCACCGGCUAACUCCGUGCCAGCAGCCGCGGUAAUAC
rnacentral:rRNA from 1 species